AAAACACAGCUCUGCAGAGAGAGAUAGAGGAUGCUUUUAUUUUAUUUCUAGGUUCUGAGACAGGAGGAUGAAACACUGGGAAGCAGAACAAGGCAAGGAAUGAACGAAGCAGGAGAUCCUGAACUACAUAAACUCCAUAAGAAAGCUCAGCCCUGGCAGGCACGCCCCACAGCUCUGCCCCUCGCUGGAUGUCCUGUGGUCAGAUAACCCCAGCCCUGCA
rnacentral:lncRNA from 1 species